GAUGAACGCUGGCGGCGUGCCUAAUACAUGCAAGUCGAGCGAACGGACGAGAAGCUUGCUUCUCUGAUGUUAGCGGCGGACGGGUGAGUAACACGUGGAUAACCUACCUAUAAGACUGGGAUAACUUCGGGAAACCGGAGCUAAUACCGGAUAAUAUUUUGAUCUGCAUGGUUCAAAAGUAAAAGACGGUCUUGCUGUCACUUAUAGAUGGAUCCGCGCUGCAUUAGCUAGUUGGUAAGGUAACGGCUUACCAAGGCAACGAUGCAUAGCCGACCUGAGAGGGUGAUCGGCCACACUGGAACUGAGACACGGUCCAGACUCCUACGGGAGGCAGCAGUAGGGAAUCUUCCGCAAUGGGCGAAAGCCUGACGGAGCAACGCCGCGUGAGUGAUGAAGGUCUUCGGAUCGUAAAACUCUGUUAUUAGGGAAGAACAUAUGUGUAAGUAACUGUGCACAUCUUGACGGUACCUAAUCAGAAAGCCACGGCUAACUACGUGCCAGCAGCCGCGGUAAUACGUAGGUGGCAAGCGUUAUCCGGAAUUAUUGGGCGUAAAGCGCGCGUAGGCGGCUUUUUAAGUCUGAUGUGAAAGCCCACGGCUCAACCGUGGAGGGUCAUUGGAAACUGGAAAACUUGAGUGCAGAAGAGGAAAGUGGAAUUCCAUGUGUAGCGGUGAAAUGCGCAGAGAUAUGGAGGAACACCAGUGGCGAAGGCGACUUUCUGGUCUGUAACUGACGCUGAUGUGCGAAAGCGUGGGGAUCAAACAGGAUUAGAUACCCUGGUAGUCCACGCCGUAAACGAUGAGUGCUAAGUGUUAGGGGGUUUCCGCCCCUUAGUGCUGCAGCUAACGCAUUAAGCACUCCGCCUGGGGAGUACGACCGCAAGGUUGAAACUCAAAGGAAUUGACGGGGACCCGCACAAGCGGUGGAGCAUGUGGUUUAAUUCGAAGCAACGCGAAGAACCUUACCAAAUCUUGACAUCCUUUGACAACUCUAGAGAUAGAGCCUUCCCCUUCGGGGGACAAAGUGACAGGUGGUGCAUGGUUGUCGUCAGCUCGUGUCGUGAGAUGUUGGGUUAAGUCCCGCAACGAGCGCAACCCUUAAGCUUAGUUGCCAUCAUUAAGUUGGGCACUCUAAGUUGACUGCCGGUGACAAACCGGAGGAAGGUGGGGAUGACGUCAAAUCAUCAUGCCCCUUAUGAUUUGGGCUACACACGUGCUACAAUGGACAAUACAAAGGGCAGCGAAACCGCGAGGUCAAGCAAAUCCCAUAAAGUUGUUCUCAGUUCGGAUUGUAGUCUGCAACUCGACUACAUGAAGCUGGAAUCGCUAGUAAUCGUAGAUCAGCAUGCUACGGUGAAUACGUUCCCGGGUCU
rnacentral:rRNA from 1 species